GUCCACGCUGUAAACGAUGGACACUAGAUAUCAGGCUGGUUGACGGCUUGGUGUCGUAAGCUAACGCGUUAAGUGUCCCGCCUGGGGAGUACGGCCGCAAGGCUAAAACUCAAAGGAAUUGACGGGGACCCGCACAAGUAGGGGAACGUGUGGUUUAAUUCGAGACAAACGAAACCUCACCAGGGUUUGAAAUGCUAGUUUUAGAAUCCCGAAAAGGAACGAACCGCAAGGUAGCUAGCACAGGUGCUGCAUGGCUGUCGU
rnacentral:rRNA from 1 species